rnacentral:rRNA from 1 species
UACGUAGGGUGCAAGCGUUGUCCGGAAUUGCUGGGCGUAAAGCGUGCGUAGGCGGUUCGUUAAGUUCGUCGUGAAAGCCCCGGGCUCAACCUGGGAAUGGCGAUGGAAACUGGCGGGCUUGAGUAUGGCAGAGGGGGGUGGAAUUCCGCGUGUAGCAGUGAAAUGCGUAGAGAUGCGGAGGAACACCGAUGGCGAAGGCAGCCCCCUGGGCCAAUACUGACGCUCAGGCACGAAAGCGUGGGGAGCAAACAGG